AGCAGAGAGCUCCCCGAGGCCCGGGCACGGAUCAUGAGGCCGAGAGAGAGGGGGAAAGGUCCCAGGUUUGCGGCACCACAGUGUGUCCGGAGCUCUCAGUAAUUGUACCUCAAUCGCGAUGGCUCCUCCGUAGUACAGAUGAUGAGAGGGAACUGAGUACGGUGUAUAUGUAGAGGAUGAAGAUGGCCUGGAAAGGAGAACAUACAACUAAAAAAAACAAAUACUGGAGCGUACGGCGGCAACCGACAGCGAGUUCACGGACAGGUUGACCCAGCUGACGACGAACAUUGAAAAACUGACUAACUGUUGCAUUAAUAAAGCAC